UUAAGCGACUAAGCGUACACGGUGGAUGCCCUGGCAGUCAGAGGCGAUGAAGGACGUGCUAAUCUGCGAUAAGCGUCGGUGAGGUGAUAUGAACCGUUAUAACCGGCGAUUUCCGAAUGGGGAAACCCAGUGUGUUUCGACACACUAUCAUUAACUGAAUCCAUAGGUUAAUGAGGCGAACCGGGGGAACUGAAACAUCUAAGUACCCCGAGGAAAAGAAAUCAACCGAGAUUCCCCCAGUAGCGGCGAGCGAACGGGGAGGAGCCCAGAGCCUGAAUCAGUGUGUGUGUUAGUGGAAGCGUCUGGAAAGGCGUGCGAUACAGGGUGACAGCCCCGUACACAAAAAUGCACAUAUUGUGAGCUCGAUGAGUAGGGCGGGACACGUGGUAUCCUGUCUGAAUAUGGGGGGACCAUCCUCCAAGGCUAAAUACUCCUGACUGACCGAUAGUGAACCAGUACCGUGAGGGAAAGGCGAAAAGAACCCCGGCGAGGGGAGUGAAAAAGAACCUGAAACCGUGUACGUACAAGCAGUGGGAGCCUCUUAAUGGGGUGACUGCGUACCUUUUGUAUAAUGGGUCAGCGACUUAUAUUCUGUAGCAAGGUUAACCGAAUAGGGGAGCCGAAGGGAAACCGAGUCUUAACUGGGCGUUAAGUUGCAGGGUAUAGACCCGAAACCCGGUGAUCUAGCCAUGGGCAGGUUGAAGGUUGGGUAACACUAACUGGAGGACCGAACCGACUAAUGUUGAAAAAUUAGCGGAUGACUUGUGGCUGGGGGUGAAAGGCCAAUCAAACCGGGAGAUAGCUGGUUCUCCCCGAAAGCUAUUUAGGUAGCGCCUCGUGAAUUCAUCUCCGGGGGUAGAGCACUGUUUCGGCAAGGGGGUCAUCCCGACUUACCAACCCGAUGCAAACUGCGAAUACCGGAGAAUGUUAUCACGGGAGACACACGGCGGGUGCUAACGUCCGUCGUGAAGAGGGAAACAACCCAGACCGCCAGCUAAGGUCCCAAAGUCAUGGUUAAGUGGGAAACGAUGUGGGAAGGCCCAGACAGCCAGGAUGUUGGCUUAGAAGCAGCCAUCAUUUAAAGAAAGCGUAAUAGCUCACUGGUCGAGUCGGCCUGCGCGGAAGAUGUAACGGGGCUAAACCAUGCACCGAAGCUGCGGCAGCGACACUAUGUGUUGUUGGGUAGGGGAGCGUUCUGUAAGCCUGUGAAGGUGGCCUGUGAGGGUUGCUGGAGGUAUCAGAAGUGCGAAUGCUGACAUAAGUAACGAUAAAGCGGGUGAAAAGCCCGCUCGCCGGAAGACCAAGGGUUCCUGUCCAACGUUAAUCGGGGCAGGGUGAGUCGACCCCUAAGGCGAGGCCGAAAGGCGUAGUCGAUGGGAAACAGGUUAAUAUUCCUGUACUUGGUGUUACUGCGAAGGGGGGACGGAGAAGGCUAUGUUGGCCGGGCGACGGUUGUCCCGGUUUAAGCGUGUAGGCUGGUUUUCCAGGCAAAUCCGGAAAACCAAGGCUGAGGCGUGAUGACGAAGCACUACGGUGCUGAAGCGACAAAUGCCCUGCUUCCAGGAAAAGCCUCUAAGCAUCAGGUAACAUCAAAUCGUACCCCAAACCGACACAGGUGGUCAGGUAGAGAAUACCAAGGCGCUUGAGAGAACUCGGGUGAAGGAACUAGGCAAAAUGGUGCCGUAACUUCGGGAGAAGGCACGCUGAUAUGUAGGUGAAGCGACUUGCUCGUGGAGCUGAAAUCAGUCGAAGAUACCAGCUGGCUGCAACUGUUUAUUAAAAACACAGCACUGUGCAAACACGAAAGUGGACGUAUACGGUGUGACGCCUGCCCGGUGCCGGAAGGUUAAUUGAUGGGGUUAGCGGCAACGCGAAGCUCUUGAUCGAAGCCCCGGUAAACGGCGGCCGUAACUAUAACGGUCCUAAGGUAGCGAAAUUCCUUGUCGGGUAAGUUCCGACCUGCACGAAUGGCGUAAUGAUGGCCAGGCUGUCUCCACCCGAGACUCAGUGAAAUUGAACUCGCUGUGAAGAUGCAGUGUACCCGCGGCAAGACGGAAAGACCCCGUGAACCUUUACUAUAGCUUGACACUGAACAUUGAGCCUUGAUGUGUAGGAUAGGUGGGAGGCUUUGAAGUGUGGACGCCAGUCUGCAUGGAGCCGACCUUGAAAUACCACCCUUUAAUGUUUGAUGUUCUAACGUUGGCCCGUAAUCCGGGUUGCGGACAGUGUCUGGUGGGUAGUUUGACUGGGGCGGUCUCCUCCUAAAGAGUAACGGAGGAGCACGAAGGUUGGCUAAUCCUGGUCGGACAUCAGGAGGUUAGUGCAAUGGCAUAAGCCAGCUUGACUGCGAGCGUGACGGCGCGAGCAGGUGCGAAAGCAGGUCAUAGUGAUCCGGUGGUUCUGAAUGGAAGGGCCAUCGCUCAACGGAUAAAAGGUACUCCGGGGAUAACAGGCUGAUACCGCCCAAGAGUUCAUAUCGACGGCGGUGUUUGGCACCUCGAUGUCGGCUCAUCACAUCCUGGGGCUGAAGUAGGUCCCAAGGGUAUGGCUGUUCGCCAUUUAAAGUGGUACGCGAGCUGGGUUUAGAACGUCGUGAGACAGUUCGGUCCCUAUCUGCCGUGGGCGCUGGAGAACUGAGGGGGGCUGCUCCUAGUACGAGAGGACCGGAGUGGACGCAUCACUGGUGUUCGGGUUGUCAUGCCAAUGGCACUGCCCGGUAGCUAAAUGCGGAAGAGAUAAGUGCUGAAAGCAUCUAAGCACGAAACUUGCCCCGAGAUGAGUUCUCCCUGAGACUUAGAGUCUCCUGAAGGAACGUUGAAGACGACGACGUUGAUAGGCCGGGUGUGUAAGCGCAGCGAUGCGUUGAGCUAACCGGUACUAAUGAACCGUGAGGCUUAACCUU
rnacentral:rRNA from 1 species